ensembl:lncRNA
GCCUGACCCGCGGGCCGGCCGAGAACAGAGGAGGUAUCGUCAGCGGGCGGGAACCCGGCCCUCGGGGCCCCACCGCGACUCUGCGCGUGGCUUUGAUGUGAGGCGCUGUGGUUCUUGUGGGCGGUUCUGCUCGCCGCUCUUUGGAGUGCAGCCUCACACAGAACACUGAGCCGUGGGCGUUGGGUGGCAUGGCAGCAAGUUCCGCGGCGAAUGAAAGGAGGCCAGGUUCUGACAGAGCGACAUCACAGCGCUGGAGAGCCGCAGCAUGGCGAGGAGGGGGGUUCCUGUCUCUGUUCGUGGCCUGAUGGAUGACUGCGGGCUGGUGAUCAGUCAGGAAAAGCGAGCUCCAUCACCGCCUGUCUGUCAGCGAGGGGGAUCGGGGUGUCGAGGGAGGUGGCUGCAGGGUGCACAGGCCGACCUCCUGUUUCUGGCUGCUCACGGUCUAAAUACUACGACCAACGUGUAUCACAAAGGCCACGAGAGAAGAAAGGAGAGCGCAGGGCUCCACUCCACUGAAAAUAGCCUCAAGCCACGGAGGGCUUCGGAGCGAAUUACCCUGCAGCACCCUACCAACGCCACUUUCCUCCAGCGUGGGUCCAGGCUCAUAUGCAGUUGGCUCUGGAGGAGUGUCAUUAUACUGGAAAGUAAUGAGAAGAGAACGACUGCAGCCCUCAGUGGAGCACAUCAAAGUAGACAGAACGCUGACAGACGGGCUGACAAGGGUUCCGCUUUUUGGGGGGCCUUGGUACAACUCUGUGUCUUCAAGUCUG